UCGAGAAUCUUCGGCAAUGGGCGCAAGCCUGACCGAGCGACGCCGCGUGGAGGAUGAAGGCCUUCGGGUUGUAAACUCCUGUCGGGGGGGAAGAAGGCCCCGCAAGGGGCUUGACUGAUCCCUGGAGGAAGCACGGGCUAAGUUCGUGCCAGCAGCCGCGGUAAGACGAACCGUGCGAACGUUAUUCGGAAUCACUGGGCUUAAAGCGCGUGUAGGCGGGAGGGCACGUCCGUCGCUGAAAUCCCCCGGCUCAACCGGGGAACGGGCGCGGAUACGACCUUCCUCGAGGGGCGUAGGGGGACCUGGAACUUCCGGUGGAGCGGUGAAAUGCGUUGAGAUCGGAAGGAACGCCCGUGGCGAAAGCGAGGUCCUGGACGCCUACUGACGCUGAGACGCGAAAGCCAGGGGAGCGAACGG
rnacentral:rRNA from 1 species